rnacentral:rRNA from 1 species
GAUGAACGCUGGCGGCGUGCUUAACACAUGCAAGUCGAACGAUGAAGCCCAGCUUGCUGGGUGGAUUAGUGGCGAACGGGUGAGUAACACGUGAGUAACCUGCCCUUGACUCUGGGAUAAGCCCGGGAAACUGGGUCUAAUACCGGAUAGGAGCGCCUGUCGCAUGACGGGUGUUGGAAAGAUUUUUCGGUCAUGGAUGGACUCGCGGCCUAUCAGCUUGUUGGUGAGGUAAUGGCUCACCAAGGCGACGACGGGUAGCCGGCCUGGGAGGGUGACCGGCCACACUGGGACUGAGACACGCCCCAGACUCCUACGGGAGGCAGCAGUGGGGAAUAUUGCACAAUGGGCGGAAGCCUGAGGCAGCGACGCCGCGUGAGGGAUGACGGCCUUCGGGUUGUAAACCUCUUUCAGUAGGGAAGAAGCGAAAGUGACGGUACCUGCAGAAGAAGCACCGGCUAACUACGUG